AUCUUUGCGCUUGGGGCAAUGACGCAGCUAGUGAGGUUAUAACGAGGUGCGUCAAUUGCUGGUUGAAAACUAUUUUCAAACCCCCUCUUUGGCCCUUCGGGGCCACUGAGAAUUUUUGGAAGGAAUUUUUGGAAGGGCUCCCUUUCCUUUGGGUGAGGGUAAAGCCCUACAAUUC
rnacentral:snRNA from 1 species